rnacentral:rRNA from 1 species
UACGUAGGGUGCAAGCGUUGUCCGGAAUUAUUGGGCGUAAAGAGCUCGUAGGCGGUCUGUUGCGUCGGCUGUGAAAACCCGGGGCUCAACUCCGGGCCUGCAGCCGAUACGGGCAGACUAGAGUUCGGCAGGGGAGACUGGAAUUCCUGGUGUAGCGGUGAAAUGCGCAGAUAUCAGGAGGAACACCGGUGGCGAAGGCAGGUCUCUGGGCCACUACUGACGCUGAGAAGCGAAAGCGUGGGGAGCGAACAGG